UUAUAGUUCUUGGCUUACUUUUAAUUUCAUUAACUUAAAAUUACAAUAUUAGAUACUUAUAGAGCUUCUUCUUAGAUCAACACAAAUUCUCUUGCGCUGAUGGUUGGAUUUCAGCGGCAUUUGUUGUUGAUGCUGUUGUUGUUGUGCCCUCAAAUAGCGGAACGAUUUCAGGUAUUUUACAUACAACUACAAAUACAAUAAAUCAGUUAUCCUGUCGUUCAGCUGCUUAGGCUGCCUGUGUUCAUUUGCGUAAGUAUGUAUGUGUAUGUCUGUUGUGUUUUCAUUGCAGAAUUUUUAGCUCUGAAGAUUUCUAUUUUUUUUUUAAUAUUUUCAUUGUUUUUGUUUCAGAUUUUUUUCACGCGAAACUAAUGAUUAGAGCGAAAUUGGGAGAGAGAGAGAGAGAGAGAGGAAUGGAUGGGGAAAAGGUAGACAUUUUAUGUAGCAAUGCCCGUGCACACAUACAUACAUACAUACGAGUAUGUAGGUAUAGGUGUCCACGAGUUCUUGUAGCUAUCGCAAAAUAAUAAAUAUGUUUAAUUGUAUAUUCAAACUUUUGUUGUAUUCUACAUAGCACAUACAUACAUACAAGUAUAUUAUAUCCUCUUCCGCUUGCACUAUAUGUAUACCAGCACACACAGGCUAUGUACAUACAAACGUACAUAUACUAGUUUUACAUUUUUUCCAUCCAAAUAUCAUAUUUCUCCUGCUGAUCUCAUUUAUCCGCUUUCUUUGCAUUUUCAGUUUAUCGCACAUAUAUUUUAUUCUCUACGUUUUUCGCUUUUGCUUAUAAAUUCUUGUUGUUGCUAAUUUUCAUUUUCAUUUAUUUUUAAUUUUAUAUUUCUAUUUUCUUUUUUUUUUUUUGUGUAUUUGUUUUCUCUGCCUUCGCACGUUCUCUACGCUUAGUUUUCAUUUCAGUUCCUUUGUCAACAAAAAUUAUUUUCCGAAUUCGCCGUGCACAUACCUACAUGCGUACAAGAUAUAUAUUUUAAUUUAGAUAUUUAUAUUUUGUAUUUACAGAUUUUUGAAUUGAUUCCCUGUUUCUUAAAUUUCUCAUUUAGUUUUUCAACUGGUUUUUAACUAGUGUUUAGCUUCUUCUUCUUAAUGUACAAUAGUAUUUACCAUUUUUGUAUUGUUUUUUUUUCACUUUUAUGAACAUUUACUCCUAAUUUAAUUAUAGUAUUUAGCUUUAAUAGUUUCUAUCAUUUCUAUUUGGAAUAUUAGUUAGUGGCAUAAGUGCGUUUGCUCCCUUGGGGAUAUUUACAAUUGGAACGAGUUGAAAGCGUCUCUAGGUCCAGUAUUUACUCAAUUAUUUAUUUAUUCAUUUAUUUAUUUAUUUAUUUACUUAUGAUGAAUAUGGAAUACUCUAAGUGUAUCAAUAUAAGCUUGAUUAUGUUGAUUUGCAGCCAAUGCGCUCGAGCUCCGCCGCGAAUACCGAAACCACUCUCUGCACACGCUCACUGCAGACCAUCCCUGAGGUGUUGCGCACCUUCGGCGGCGCCCUGUUCUUCCACACCCGCUCUCUCGCACAGCACUCUCUUUUGGUAUUUCGGUUGGGCGAACUUUUUUGUUGCUGUUUUUGCCGAAACCGAGCUUUUUAAAAAGAGCGAGUAAAGAGCAAUUGCAGUUGCUAGUAGAGCUGAUGGAGACUCAACCGGCUACAGCUCGAGACUUUUUUAAAAGUGAUAAGAAGGAGUGCAACCAAUUUUGGGGGAAUAUGGAUAACGAAGUAAAUCCGCUGAACCACCUGUAAAAACCCAUCUGGAUUGGAAGAAGGUGUUGGCUGAUCACAAGAAAUACGGUCGGUUCCAAACUGUAAGGCCAGAAAACACGUCAGGAAGGGUCAUAAAUUGUCCCAUAUCGAGGAGAUGAAGGAGUCGGUGGAAUGGUUGCUUGUGAGGAAGUUUGGAUUGCAGGAGCAUUAGGCCUUGCCAAACGACGUUUUUUUACGUUGAAGAAGAAUUCCUUGCCAUUCUUCCUCAUUUGCCUCAGCAGCCAAUAGAUUUAGUACCACAAAAUCCAUAAUUCUAAUAUAAUUUUGGUUUCAAUAAGAAUUGUUCAUUUCAUCAAAGCGUCAAAUGUCAAUAAUACUCAGGAAUACCAAGCUGCUGAUUCCCUACUCCCAAGAAAUCAUUCUCCCUGUGCUUUUGGAAUUGGCGGAUUUUUUCUUAGGGAAUUGCCAAAUCCGCAAGGGAGAAUUUCUCCGAGAGUAUUUCGAAUUCCGCUGACUGUAAAAUUGUAUUCAAAUUUGUUGUUGUUGUUUUUGUGGUAUAAUUUCUUGGUUUUAGAAAAAGAUUUUCGCUUUUUAUAAUCUUACAUUGUUGUUGUCUUAGUUUGUCUGAUGUAUAAUUUCACUAUAAUUUAGGGGGGUGCGGUUUGUUUCGCAAUGCCCUGCGCUUGUCCAGACUCCGGAGUCUAUUUUUUACAAUCGGUUUGCUUGUUUUUAAUUUUUGUUUUUGUUUUUGUUUUGUUUUUGUUUUUGCUUUGCCUUAAGCAAUUUUAGUCUUGCUGCUUUUAAUACUUCUAUUCCCUCACUGUCUUUCGUGGUGGCUCUUGCGUUUUUCUCUUCCUUUGUGCAUUUAUAUUUUUUAUUAUGUAAGGACAGCAGCAACAACAACAAACACAAAGAAAAUGAUUGCUCCUCUUUUGAGCAAUUGUUGGCCGCAAACUUUUCUCCCUCCAACUCCUUUCAUCCUCCUCAUUUCAGUUCACAUUUAUAUUCUACCAUUUAAUGCAGUGCAGUGUAGCGCUUAACGUUGCUGUUGUUGUUGUUGUUUUUGCUUUUAUUAUUAUUGUUAUUGUUAUAGUGCUGGCUAUGUCUGUGGCGAAAGUUGCAGUUAUAACCGUUGACUUGCUAUUUGCUGUUAGCUCCCGCCUGUUGCCUUGUUUCUUUGCAUCGUUUUUUAUUUAUUAUUGUUUGUUAUAGUUGUUGCUGUUGUACUUUUUUGCUGUUGUUGUCGCCAUUAUUACAAUUACUAUUGCAGUUUAGCAUUUCUGGCGAUUUGGUGCGCACAAUGAAUGGCUGUUGUUUGCAACUCCACACACACACACACAUACGCAACCACACUCAACGCUAGAUCAGUAACCGCGUUAGGGUGUGUGUCGCGGCGUCGGGAUCAAAGUCAGUCUGCUCGAAAUUAAAAUGUCCUGGCAACGAACAUUGACUCCUUCGUUUGUAUUGUGCUGUUUACUGCUUUCUGCUCCUUCCCGGUUUAUGCUUCUUCUUCUCGGUGGUUAUUAUUGCUGCUGAGGUAUGGCGAUGUUGUUGCUCCUGCCUCAUACAAAAGAUAUAUUUGUUAUAUCUUCCGUUUCUGUUUCUGUUGCUUGGUAAGUUGAUCGCCGUUGCCGCUGCUCAUUUAUAACGGCAGAUUUCCGGUUCUUAUAAUUGCGCGCCAAUUGCCGGUCGGUCCGUUACACUUUGGGGAAGUGAGAUGAAUACAGGGUGAU